rnacentral:lncRNA from 1 species
GGAGCAGGCAUCCGAGACACCAGGCCAUACCUGGGGCACCUCAGAGUCAGUUUGCAAGGCACCCCAGUCUUCCUGCUAAGCUGGGUCAGCGCCUUCCCCCAGCCGUGCUACUACCGUCAUUUGGGAAGCAUUGAGAUACUACUGCCAGUGAUGAACUGAAGUGCAUGCGCAAGGUCUAGAUGCGAGAGUUGUCUUCACCUUUCUGCAGUGUGGGGUUGCUGCUUGGAGAGAGGAGUGCUUUUAAAUCCCUAACUGGCCCAAGCCCCUGGUGCACAGAGACAGGGUUCCUUUAGUUCCUGGGUGUUCUGUACAAACAGUAGACCUCGCUCAUCAGCAAAAAGAAACUCUUCCUACUGUAGCUGAGCUCGGUUCAGCACCCUGUCCUUUAGCCGAGACCCGAGGAUGCCUGAGCCACACUGCUACUAGAGCCCUGUUUGUCCCUUGCCUUCAGGGCCUCAAGAUUUCCCCAAGAGAGGCCCUCCACUGCUUCACCCCCUCCCUUAUCCUGUGGCUCUAUAUGCUCCUCCGCAAAGAUGUGCAACCCGAGGCGUGCGUACCCCUUUGUCCACCAGUAUCUAGUGGCUAAAAUCCAACCACCCUGACUUCAAUGGAAGAUAGAUAUUCUAGAGAUAAUGAAAAGUGAUAUAUGUAUGAAAAAAACAUUGAGGUAUAUAUGAUUUUUAAUUGUAUUAGGGAUGUGUGGACCCAUUUAAAGUUGAGAUUUUAUUUACUGUAGAGAGAGAAAAAUCAGAACCAUUGAUCCCAUGAUCUUCUAAGUCAAACCCAGCUCCUACAUCCCUUAGGUGUUUUUAUUAUUAUUAUUAUUAUUAUUAUUAUUACAAUUGUUAUUGUUUUCAUUGUUAUUAUUUGGGGUUUCUUGUGUUUUGGUUUUCUUUGCAACUCUCCACACUAAACUCAUGAUACUGUGGGGAGAGGCCAUGACUGAACCCUACGCUGCGGUAAGAUGUAGCAGGGGUUGCUCCCAGCAGCGGCCGCCGCCAGGGCUGCAACUGGCAAUAAUCACUAUUGAUUUAAAGCUUUAUUUAGUCUCAUCUGUUCCUUCAUAGUUAAUAAGGUCUUGCCACAUUUUAUUAGUGAGAUUGAGAGAUGAAUUAUUUGUCUGUUGUCCUCCCCGCCUUCCCUCCCCCAAUAUUAAACUGUGAAGUUUGUGAUUUUGUUUAAACGCUGGGUGAAUCAUAGUGUUAGUUUGCAUGUCCAGCUAAUUUGUUUCUAUACAUUUUGUUUGAUUCUCUUUCUCCUCAGGGCUUUUACAAAUAUAUAUAUAUUAUAUAUGUAUAUAUAUAUGGAUCUUCUGAAAAAAAUUGAGGUGCAAAUUUUCUCUUUUUUGUUGUUUUUUGUUUUCUCUUUAAUGGACACAAUGCUGAUAUUCAAUCACUACAUAAAAUAUCUGGCUGUGAAACAAACCAGAGAGGCCCCACGGGGCGUUAUCCAAGCAGCUCUGCAGAAGCUCCGUGAAUCGGAUACCGAUUUCAGACAGAUCAUCCUGCGUUCGUCUCUUUCCUCUCUUCUCUUUCUUCAAGAAAAAAAAGUUGAUCCUAAUGAUUUCAGCCCAUGCAUUAAACAGAAAACAAUAAUAACUGUAGAAUUCAUAUUUUUCUAAAGGGAACUUAAAAACUGCUGCUACAUGUAUGUACAAAACUGGUCUCUGCUACAUGAACAGAAUCACAGGUUUGGUUUUGGUACUUUUGUUUCUCUUUGUACUCAGUUGUGUAGAACUUCCAAAUUCAGAGUGAAAAGAAAGCUGUUCUGCAUCAAACCAUCUAAGCAAUAAAUGUUAUAUUU